GAUCCUGGCUCAGGAUGAACGCUGGCGGCGUGCCUAACACAUGCAAGUCGAACGAAGAUGCGUGUCAGAUCCCUUCGGGGUGACGAUGCGUAGACUUAGUGGCGGACGGGUGAGUAAUGUAUGAGCAACCUGCCUUCAAGAGGGGAAUAACAGUCGGAAACGACUGCUAAUACCGCAUAACAAAGCGUGAUCGCAUGAUCGUGUUUUCAAAGGAGCAAU
rnacentral:rRNA from 1 species